GAUGAACGCUGGCGGCGUGCCUAAUACAUGCAAGUCGAGCGGCGCUACUUCGGUAGUGCAGCGGCGAACGGGUGAGUAACACGUGGGCAACCUGCCCCCAAGACAGGGAUAACUUCGGGAAACCGGAGCUAAUACCAGAUAAUCUUUUUUCUCGCAUGAGAGAAAAGUAAAAGGCUUCGGCCGUUUGGGGAUGGGCCCGCGACGCAUUAGCUAGUUGGUGUGGUAAAGGCAUACCAAGGCGACGAUGCGUAGCCGACCUGAGAGGGUGACCGGCCACACUGGGACUGAGACACGGCCCAGACUCCUACGGGAGGCAGCAGUAGGGAAUUUUCCGCAAUGGGCGAAAGCCUGACGGAGCAACGCCGCGUGAAUGAGGACGGCCUUCGGGUUGUAAAGUUCUGUUCUGUGGGAAGAAAAAAAUGACGGUACCAUAGGAGAAAGCCCCGGCUAACUACGUGCCAGCCGCCGCCGUAACAC
rnacentral:rRNA from 1 species